UUGCAACUCAUUGUUCCUUGCUGCACCCUCCUUUCUUGUAGCUGAAAAAAAAGGGUUGUGUGGCUGGUAUGGCAAGGCAGGCUAUUCACACCUAUCUAUCAAAGUAACCUGAGAGUAUAACAGACACCCAAAGAAAGGAGGGGAAGCUUCAUUGACACGGAGCAUAACAGGCAGCCCGGCUGUGCGACUGGAAGAAGUGGGAGAUAAAGAAGAGGUGAGCAUUACUAUCAACAGUUGGGAAACAGCAUGGUCAAACUAUGACAUAGCACACUGAAGAAAAAGGAAAGAGAGACAGAUGGCAAUGUGGUGUAUGGGUAGGGCCAAGGAGCUGGCCCCUUGGUACUAUGGCAAUGAGCACAGUAUAAAUGCCUGAAACCCAGCUAGUCAGAAGACCUGGUUUCUAUUCUAGACUCUGCCAUCUGACCCUGGACAAGAUACUGAACCUCUGUCUACCUCA